GACGAACGCUGGCGGCGUGCUUAACACAUGCAAGUCGAACGGAAAGGUCCUGCUUUUGUGGGGUGCUCGAGUGGCGACCGGGUGAGUAACACGUGAGUUCCCUGCACUUGACUUUGGGAUAACUUCAGGAAACUGGGGCUCAUCCCGGCUAGGAGUUCCUGCUGCAUGGUGGGGGCUGGUUAGUUUCGGCUGUUGGGGGUGGACUAGCGGCGUAUCAGCUUGAUGGUGGGGUAGUGGCUUACCAUGGCUAUGAGAGGUAGCCGGGCUGCGAGGGCCACCGGCCACGUGACGACUGGAAUGCGGCCCAGACCCGAACGGUAGGCAGCAGUGGAGAAUGUUGCACAAGGGGCGGAGGCCUGAUGCAGCAACGCCGCGUGCGGGAUGACGUCCUGCGGGUUGGAAUCCACUGUCGUCUGUGACGAAACGAUAAUGACGGUAAUGGGUGAAGAAGCACCGGCUAACUACGUG
rnacentral:rRNA from 1 species